GCAAGCAGGAAGUGGGAGUGAAGGUGGCUCGAGGGGGUGGCCCGCGAGCUGCUACCACCACUUCGCCUGGUCGCGGCCGCCAGGGGCGAGAUGGAGGGCCCGGGGCUGGGCUCGCAGUGCAGGAAUCACAGCCACGGCCCCCACCCUCCAGGAUUUGGUCGACAUGGAGUCUGUGCAUAUGAAAGCAAAGAACUUGCCAAGGCGAGAGAAGCUCUUCCUCUUAUAGAGGACUCUAGUAACUGUGACAUUGUAAAAGCUACUCAGUACGGGAUUUUUGAACGUUGUAAAGAGUUGGUAGAAGCAGGAUAUGAUGUCAGGCAACCAGACAAAGAAAAUGUGUCGCUUCUUCAUUGGGCUGCUAUUAACAACAGGCUGGAUCUUGUAAAGUUUUAUAUUUCAAAAGGUGCUGUAGUAGAUCAGUUGGGUGGAGAUUUAAAUUCGACACCUCUUCACUGGGCCAUCAGACAAGGACAUUUGCCUAUGGUCAUAUUAUUACUCCAGUAUGGAGCCGACCCCACUCUCAUCGAUGGGGAGGGAUUCAGCAGCAUCCACCUGGCAGUAUUAUUUCAACACAUGCCUAUUAUAGCAUAUCUCAUCUCAAAAGGACAGAGUGUGAAUAUGACAGAUUUAAAUGGGCAGACACCUCUCAUGUUAUCAGCUCACAAAGUCCUUGGGCCAGAACCAACUGGAUUUCUUUUAAAGUUUAAUCCUUCUCUCAGUGUGGUUGAUAAAAUACACCAAAACACUCCACUCCACUGGGCAGUUGCAGCGGGAAAUGUUAAUGCUGUAGAUAAACUUUUGGAAGCCGGUUCUAGCCUGGACAUCCGAAAUGUUAAGGGCGAAACACCUCUUGAUAUGGCUCUACAAAACAAAAAUAGGCUCAUUAUUCACAUGCUAAAAACAGAAGCCAAAAUGAGAGCUAACAAAAAGUUCAGACUCUGGAGGUGGCUGCAGAAAUGCGAGCUCUUCCUGCUGCUGAUGCUUUCUGUGAUUACCAUGUGGGCUGUUGGAUACAUACUGGACUUCAAUUCAGAUUCUUGGCUUUUAAAAGGAUGUCUUCUAAUAACAUUGUUUUUUCUGACAUCUUUGCUUCCAAGGUUCUUGGUCGGGUAUAAGAGUCUCAUCUACUUACCAACAGUCUUCCUGCUAAGUUCCAUUUUUUGGAUAUUUGUAACGUGGUUCAUCUUAUUCUUUCCUCAUCUAGCAGGCACCCCUUUCUAUUUUGCUUUCAUUCUCAGCCUAAUAGGCUUCCUCUACUUUUUCUACAAGACUUGGGCAACUGAUCCAGGCUUCACUAAAGCUUCUGAAGAAGAAAGGAAAACGAAUAUCAUCACCCUUGCAGAGACUGGCUGUCUGGACUUCAGAACAUUUUGUACCUCAUGCCUUAUAAGGAAGCCAUUAAGGUCACUUCAUUGCCACGUGUGUAACUCCUGUGUCGCUCGAUACGAUCAGCAUUGUCUGUGGACUGGACGGUGCAUAGGUUUCGGCAACCAUCAUUAUUACAUAUUCUUCUUACUUUUCCUUUCCAUUGUUUGUGAUUGGAUUAUAUAUGAAUCUUUCAUCUAUUGGUCAAAUCAUUGUGCCACGACAUUCAGAGAAGAUGGACUGUGGACCUACCUCAAUCAGAUUGUGGCCUGUUCCCCUUGGGUUUUAUAUAUCUUCAUGCUAGCAACUUUCCACUUCUCGUGGUCAACAUUUUUAUUAUUAAAUCAGCUCUUUCAGAUUGCUUUCCUGGGCCUGACUUCCCAUGAGAAAACCAGCCUGUUGAAGCAGAGCAGGCAUAUGAAACAGACAUUGUCCCUCAGGAGGACCCCAUACAACCUUGGGUUCACGCAGAACCUUGCAGAUUUCUUUCAGUGUGGCUGCUUUGGCUUGGUGAAGCCCUGUGCCGUAGAUUGGACGUCCCAAUACAGCAUGGUCUUCCACCCGGCUAAGGAGAAAGUCCUUCGCUCAGUAUGAAGAAAAGUGACCCCAGACUCUCACUCUGAUCUGUGUUCAUGUUGAUGCCCUGUGGUCUGCAAGUGAAGUGAAGAUUAGGAGUUCACCGAAGCCCAAAGGAAAACACAGUUGAGACUUCAUUUCUGACACUUAACUUUCAGAAUCUUAAAUUGAGAAAAGGUGUAUGUAGGGCAUAAAGAAACUGAUUCACAAUUCCAGGACCAAGUUGAGCUCCCUGUUAACACCAUCACAUCGGAGACAGUGCAUUUGAAUCAUUGCCACAACUGCUACGCAAAAUCCUGAUGAUGCUCCCUGUGACUUAACAGUCUGGCUGGACCCUGAACAGUGAGAAGUGGAAUAUCUUGGCUAUAGCACAUCCAGUAUCAUAGCUGGGAGUAUUAUAGUCACGGGAGUUAAUGGGAUAAUAACCACCCCCGCCCCCGCCAAUAUCUCACUGGCUUAACACCACAUAAGGUUUAUUUCCCCCUCUUGUUACAGUCCAUUUAGCUGCUCGAAGAUACUCUUCCAUGCAGGGACCCGAGCUCCCUCCCAGCUAGUGUUUCCACUGUUUCCUAGGGCCUCGGCGUCCACUGGACCUUCUGCAUCCACAGGUGUGGAAAGAGACUGGAGACUCUCCUGGAUGUCGUGGGGGCCAGGCCUCCAUUGGCCAAACUCAGUCCCGUGUCCCAGUCAAUGAAUUUGCUCUCGUGUUGUCUUGCUUCCUCUGGAACCCCGUUUCCUUCUCUGUCGGUAACGAGAAAGAAGCUCAGUGGACAGAUUCUGGAAGCCUGCUUUCCUUUGCCUCUUGUUCCUCGUCCUCACGCCUUCCCCAGUUGGGAUCAAGAUUCAUUACAUCGUUUGCAGCGCGUUUUUAGAAACACCUCUCUAUUUUUUGAAAAUCUCCCUCCAUUCGAAAGAAAAGAUCCAGAGACACGCCAGGUGUCUUCUAACUUUGGGUAAAGACUACGAUCGCUUCUGAAGAGAAAUACUGCCCGAUCCCCAGCGAGAGGAUGUUCGGGGGAGGGUUGCCGCCUGGCAGGAUCACGUGGCAAAUGCUGGAGGCCCACGGAAGCACACGGAACCACUCGUGGACCCUGGAAUGCCCCCACCAAAACCCACAUUCAUCCUUCAAGACCCACAGGGGGCUUGUCUUCUAAGAAGCCUUCCCUAACACCCCAAGCUGGUCACUUGCCUGUUUAUGUGCUACUACCGGAGUUUUUUUUUCACUUGGUGAUGCAAUUAUGCUAUUAUUUGUCUACGCGUUCAUCUCUCUGCUGGCCGCGGCAACAUUUUAGCGUUUUGGGGCCUGUGAAUGCGGAGGACCCUCUGUGUCCUCCAGUGGAGGGAGGAGGCACCCCCUCUUGGAUAGGGCGUUUGUUUGCAUUCUGUCUCACCGAGGGGGCAAAGUUGGGGCACCUUGCAGUCUUGAUUAGUAAUGUCCUCCCUCUUGCCUUCUCCCGUUGCUCCCCUCCAUUCCAACACAGACACCUGGAGACCUUGAGACACCAUCAUCACGUGAAAGGGUGGGAGGACCCCACUGAGAAACGAUAGGCCUAGGGGAGGCUCCGAGGUGGAGAACACAUUGCCUUGGCCCUGAUUCAUCCCUUCCUUUUCAUAGCAUCAGAGAAGAGCUAACCCCUACUGCCUUUCCACAAGACAAAGUGAUCGUGGAGGCAUCUGGGAGCAGAACUGUGAGGACCAGAAGGAAAAUUAGUUGUCAGUUCUGUCCCUGCGAUCACUAGGUGAUAAUGCAGUGUUAGAAACAAAUGUUGGGAAGGAAGGAGGGAGAGAGGCAAGACGUGAGGGAGGAAGGAGGGAAGGAGAGAGAAGGGAGGAAAGAGAGGAGGGAAGGAAGGAAGGAAAUAGAUAUGUGUCGAUAAACUAAGGAGAGGUCAAACUCUCUGAACUAAUAAACUAUUCAUUUAAUCUCAUAAACUAAACAGAGUUCAUCCUUCCCCAGUUGCCCCUAACCACCAUUCAGGUAGACAGAGGGUAUUUGGAUUUUCAGAAGGGAAUGUGAUACUGUUUAUCCAGGCCCGUGGCCUCUUCUGAGUCAGGACACUGUUUUCUCCUCGUCCUCUCUGUCCCCAGGCGCCCAGCUGCCCUGAACCACUGAGUAUCUUCAAGCAUCCGGUCCCCCCACAUGCUCCAACGGAGAGGACCAGAGCUGGGUCGGGGGGGGGGGGAGAUUUCUUCCCCUUAGGUGGCUUUGCUCCCCAUCCUGAGAGCCCAGACUCUGCUCAGGCUGAACAGCCAUGCCUCCUGGCAGACAUGAGCCUCUUGGCUGGACACAGCUUACCCUCCAAGGACCCUCCUUGGGAAAACAUCUCCAGAGAGUCCCCAGAACCGCUCACCUUUGCAGUAAAGUUCCCCAUCUUUGUCAGUGACGUUCGUGGACUCUAGACUCUUCCCACAGAUGGCGCAGCGAAAACAGGUCUUGUGCCAAGGCUGAGGGGCGCAGGAGAGCAGGAGAGUCACAUUAGCGGGGUGGGCUGGGCAGCAUAUUCUGUGUCCAUGUUAAAUCCCCUGACCAGCAGCGUAUGAGGGAGUGCCACUGUCUAAACCGUUCGUGUAUGUAGUAGGCCCCAGACCAGUUUUCCCGGGGAUUUGGAGAAAAUGAGAUGCUAUGGAAUUGGCCAACAAGUCUCAGAACCCCUAAAAAUAAAUUUACCAGAACUAUUACCGUAUGUAUUCCUUCAGAACAGACUAGAAAAGGGCUUCCCCCUUCUAGAAGAUCGAGGAAUAAAGUGGGGGCCGUGGGUAACAUUUACAUUGAAUAUAAAGUUAAAGAAGACGUGAAGAAAUGAGGCGAUUAGCCAGGUAAUUCAAUUUUGCUUGAACUCUGUGUCUUUCUGCCAGAAGAGAGUUGCGUGGCUUGGAUCAUUGGAAGACGGCCUUCUUCUGCACACCUGUACGUCCACCAGGCAUGGCCUAGGCGUUCUCCAUCUUCAAGUGGCCAGUCUUGGGGGUGGAGAAUGCCCUCAUAUUCGACGUCAGACCCUCCCCAUGGCCCUUCUUUCCACCCACCCCGCUCCGCUUUAGUAUAAACAGUUUUGGGUUUUUUUCCCUUCCGUCGGGCCCCAACCCUUUGGUGAAUACCCUGAAACCGGAACUUGCAGAGCAAGUGUGCAUAAUGGUCUCGGACAUUGGAUGACUCCUCUGAUUGCCAAGACGCUUGUGAGUAAGGAUGUUCCUUGCUGCUAUCAGGUGUCUGCACUAUCCGCUGGUGGUGAUGCCAGUGGCAGAUGGAAUGACACAGUGGUGAUGGCCUCACAGGGCUCAUAGCUUUCUGGAAGCAUUGUGGACUCUGCAGGGUAAGGGGCUUGUGCGCUUUGUAUCUCCAGCGCUUCCAGCCGGAUGCCUGUCACCUAGUGGGCUUAGGCCUGUUGCAUCGAAUUUCACCAGCUCUAGAUUUCCAGGGCUCUGCAGAGUGACACUCACAGCCAGGAAAGCGGGUGAGGGCGGGUGGCUCCUAACGCGGUUCCUGGGAGCAAAGGAGAACGAAGGGCCUGGCUCCCACCCGCUCACAGUUCCUACUUUCCUCUCUUAGCCCUCCCGCCCCGUGUGGUGCAGAUGAGCAAGCCCCACUUGGCUCACAUGGCCGUCCUUACCUUGCCACCUCCCAUCACCUUCUCAGCAGCAUAGACCGACUUGCCGCAUCGAGGGCACUUCUCAGACUCUCCGAACUUCGCAGUGAACUUGGAAGGGUUGCUGGUGGUGGCUGAGCGUGCCGGCUUUGGAGACCUGGUCGACACAGACAAAUGGAUGAAACCCAUAGAGCUUGUUGGAAAAGAGUACUUUAAGCGAGUUACUAAACUUGUCUAUGCCUCAGACUCCUCAUCUGGGAAAUGGGGCUCAUCAUGGUGCCUUCCUCAGGGUAGCCGAGACGGUUUAAUGAGGGGACCUGAGUAAAGCACUUAGAAGUG